rnacentral:tRNA from 1 species
GCCGGGGUAGCUCAGCCUGGUUAGAGUGCCAGUUAAUUGGUAAACUCUAUCCGGUUCUUCCAAAAAAGGCAAUACUCAUAAUCUGGAGGUCGUGGGUUCGAAACCCAUCCCCGGCA